CAAAGAAAACAAGUAUCAAAAUGAGGAACUUGAAUCCUGUUUGGAAUGAGAAGUUCAAGCUUAUUGUGAACGAUCCCAAGUCUCAAGUUCUUCAGCUACAAGUCUAUGACUGGGACAAGGUUGGUGGACAUGACAGAUUGGGAAUGCAGUUAGUUCCUCUAAAGCUGCUAACUCCCUACGAGCCCAAGGAACUCGUGCUUGAUUUGCUCAAGAAUACAGAUAUCAACGAUCCCCAAAAUAAGAAGCCCAGAGGGACACUUGUGG
rnacentral:misc_RNA from 1 species